rnacentral:rRNA from 1 species
UGGGGAAUCUUGCGCAAUGGGCGAAAGCCUGACGCAGCGACGCCGCGUGGAGGAUGAAGGCCUUCGGGUUGUAAACUCCUGUUAAGUGGGAAGAAAGGCUCAGUUAUAAUACAGCUGAGAGAUGACUGUACCACUAGAGAAAGCACUGGCUAACCUCGUGCCAGCAGCCGCGGUAAUACGAGGGGUGCAAGCGUUAUUCGGAAUUAUUGGGCGUAAAGGGUGUGUAGGUGGUUUAUUAAGUCGAUUGUUAAAGAUCUCGGCCUAACUGAGAAAAUGCGGUCGAAACUGAUAGGCUUGAGGGUGGAAGAGAGAAGUGGAAUUCUCGGAGUAGCGGUAAAAUGCGUAGAUCUCGAGAGGAACACCGAUGGCGAAGGCAGCUUCUUGGGCCAUUCCUGACACU